UACGUAGGGUGCAAGCGUUGUCCGGAAUUACUGGGCGUAAAGGGCUCGUAGGCGGCCAACUAAGUCGGACGUGAAAUCCCUCAGCUUAACUGGGGAACUGCGUCCGAUACUGGAUGGCUUGGAUUUGGGAGAGGGAUGCGGAAUUCCAGGUGUAGCGGUGAAAUGCGUAGAUAUCUGGAGGAACACCGGUGGCGAAGGCGGCAUCCUGGACCAAUAUUGACGCUGAGGAGCGAAAGCCAGGGGAGCAAACGGG
rnacentral:rRNA from 1 species